rnacentral:rRNA from 1 species
UGAGUUUGAUCCUGGUUCAGGAUGACGCUAGCGGCAGGCCUAACACAUGCAAGUCGAGGGGCAGCACAGGUAGCAAUACUGGGUGGCGACCGGCGGAUGGGUGCGUAACGCGUAUGCAACCUACCAUUGAUUGGGGCAUAGCCCGAAGAAAUUCGGAUUAAUACUCCAUAAUAUUCAUCAAAGGCAUCUUUUAUGAAUUAAAGCUUUUGCGAUCAAUGAUGGGCAUGCGUGACAUUAGUUAGUUGGUGAGGUAACGGCUCACCAAAACGAUGAUGUCUAGGGGUUCUGAGAGGAUUAUCCCCCACACUGGUACUGAGACACGGACCAGACUCCUACGGGAGGCAGCAGUGAGGAAUAUUGGUCAAUGGACGCAAGUCUGAACCAGCCAUGCCGCGUGCAGGAUGACGGCCCUAUGGGUUGUAAACUGCUUUUCCACGGGAAGAACCCUCCGACGUGUCGGAGACUGACGGUACCGUGGGAAUAAGCAUCGGCUAAACUCCGUGCCAGCAGCCGCG